GUACGUAGGGGGCAAGCGUUGUCCGGAAUCAUUGGGCGUAAAGCGCGUGUAGGCGGCUGACUAAGUCCGCUCUGAAAGCCCGGGGCUCAACCCCGGGAGGCGGGUGGAUACUGGUCAGCUCGAGUCCGGAAGAGGAGUGUGGAAUUCCUGGUGUAGCGGUGAAAUGCGCAGAUAUCAGGAGGAACACCAAUGGCGAAGGCAGCUCUCUGGCCCAAAACUGACGCUGAGGUGCGAAAGCGUGGGGAGCGAACGGG
rnacentral:rRNA from 1 species